AGAGGAAUAGCUGGGUCAAAUGGUGAUUCCAUUCCCAGUUUUCCAAGGAAUCUCCAUACUGCUUUCCAAAUUGGCUGCACCAAUUUGCAGUCCCACCAGUAGU
rnacentral:pre_miRNA from 1 species